GUGGGCCACCGGCACCUGCGUGGGUCGCCCACACCCAGCGUGGGCCAUCGGCACCCAGUGAGAGCCGCCCGCAGCCGACCCGGGUCUUCACCACGGCGACAAGGCAGUGCAGGGGAUCCCCGUCAUGCAGAUGGCAUUUGCCGUGGGCUCGCCACCACAGGGACGAGGUAAAGGAGCCCUCUGUGGGCCAGGAUGCCAUUUAGGUGCGGUCCCCUCAUGGGGACAUGGCAUGGUGGGCCCUCUGUGAUGCAGAUGGGAUUUGAGGGACAAGGAUGGAGUUUGAGGUGGGAUCUCACCCCUGGGGUCCAGACAUGGGCGUCAUCUGAGACCGGGGUGGGGUCUGAAGGGCAGCAAUGGAGCUCAAGGUGGAAUUUCCCCUAUGGGGACAAGGCAAGGGGGUCCUUUGGGAAUGCCAUGGGAGGUGGAGGUGUCCCCAUGGGGUCAAAACAAACGCAUCCUCUGUGCCUAGGAUGAGGUUUGAGAGAGGGUGAUGGGGUUUGCAAUGUGGACCAGGCAUUAAAAGCAGGGAUGGGGCAUUUGGGUUCUCUGUGACCAAGAUGGGGUCUGAUGUGGGGUCCUUCCUUUGGGAAUGAGUCAAAACUGUCCCCUAUGACCAGGAUGAGGUAUUAAGUGGCCUCCCUGCCUUGGGGAAAAAGUGAGGGCGUCCCCUGUGCCCAGGACAGGGCUCGAGGUGGGACUGUGGGGUAUGAGGUAGGGUCUCACCCAUGGGUAAAAGGUGAGGAUGUUCCCUGUGCUCAGGAUGGGGGUUUUGGGGGGACAAGGGAGGGCAAGGCAGGAUCUCCCCCUGGGAUAAGGAUGUCCCCCAUGCUUGGAAUGGCUCCUAGGAGGUGACACUGCCGUAGGCUCUCUGUCCUGGGGCUAGACCAGACCUGCCAUUUACGUCUGUGGCCACACCAAGGCCAGAAGUGCCCCAUGGCAGGGCCACAUGGGGUGUGGCAGUGGCCCCAUGUGGGGGAAGGAGCUGCACGCCGGAGGAGAGCGGCCACCGACAGCGACUGAGAGACAGUGCAGUCACCCAUAAAGUAGAAAGCACUACUAAACAGCACUGCAGGGUGUAGUGUUUCCUACUUUAUGGAUGAGUGUACUGUGGGCUACGGAGAAGAGAGCACGGAGCAGCGCCGGACCCACAAGCCCAUCGGGAGCCGCCGUGGGCCAAGAGUGCCAAUGGGCUCUGCCUGGCUCACAGCACCCACCCAGAGCUUCACCACGCUCCUGGGGAUGCUCUGCUUGUCUCCACGUGUCUCCCUGGCACCUGGCAUGGCCACGUGGGCAGGAGGGGCCAACGCAGUGUCCCAUGAGUGCCACUGAAAGGACCCUCCCAUUGGAGUGAGCCUCGCACUGAGAGGCCAGGUAGGCAGCAAAGCCUCCCAUGUACAUUUUUUCCCCCAUCUUCAUUUUCCAUGUGGUGAAGCCCUGGGAUGAGCUGGGCAGUGGCAGCCACAUGGAGCAUGGGAGGCAAAGUGGAGUUCCUGGUGAUUGCUGGGUUCAGCGGGGUGAGGGACUGCUAAAUAAAACUCUUUUGAUAUUGA